GAUGAACGCUAGCUACAGGCUUAACACAUGCAAGUCGAGGGGCAGCAUGACGGAACCUUCGGGUUUUGUUGAUGGCGACCGGCGCAAGGGUGCGUAACGCGUGAGCAACUUGCCCGUUUCAGGGGGAUAACCGGUGGAAACGCCGACUAAUACCCCAUGGCAUCAUAUUGAGGCAUCUUUACUCAAUUAAAGAAUUUCGGAAACGGAUAGGCUCGCGUGACAUUAGCUAGAUGGCGGGGUAACGGCCCACCAUGGCGACGAUGUCUAGGGGUUCUGAGAGGAAGGUCCCCCCACACUGGAACUGAGACACGGUCCAGACUCCUACGGGAGGCAGCAGUGAGGAAUAUUGGUCAAUGGUCUGACGACUGAACCAGCCAUGCCGCGUGAAGGAAACGGCCCUAUGGGUCUUAAACUUCUUUUGUAAGGGAGCAAUAAGCGCCACGUGUGGCGUGAUGAGAGUACCUUACGAAUAAGCAUCGGCUAACUCCGUGCCAGCAGCC
rnacentral:rRNA from 1 species